UGGGGAAUCUUGGACAAUGGGGGCAACCCUGAUGCAGCGACGCCGCGUGGGGGAUGAAGGCCCUAGGGUCGUAAACCCCUUUCAGUGGGGACGAAAAUGACGGUACCCACAGAAGAAGGUCCGGCCAACUACGUGCCAGCAGCCGCGGUAAGACGUAGGGACCGAGCGUUGUCCGGAAUUAUUGGGCGUAAAGAGCUCGUAGGCGGUUGCGUAAGUCGGAUGUGAAAGCUCAGGGCUCAACCCUGAGACGCCAUCCGAUACUGCGCUGACUUGAAUCCAGUAGGGGAGUGUGGAAUUCCUGGUGUAGCGGUGAAAUGCGCAGAUAUCAGGAGGAACACCUAUGGCGAAGGCAGCACUCUGGGCUGGUAUUGACGCUGAGGAGCGAAAGCAUGGGUAGCAAACAGGAUUAGAUACCCCCGUAGUCC
rnacentral:rRNA from 1 species